AUUGAACGCUGGCGGCAUGCUUUACACAUGCAAGUCGAACGGUAACAGGCCUUCGGGUGCUGACGAGUGGCGAACGGGUGCGUAAUGCAUCGGAACGUACCCAGAGGUGGGGGAUAACGCAGCGAAAGCUGUGCUAAUACCUCAUGUGAUCUGAGGAUGAAAGCGGGGGACCGAGCAGCAAUGUUUGGCCUCGCGCCUUUGGAGCGGCCGAUGUCGGAUUAGCUAGUUGGUGGGGUAAAGGCCUACCAAGGCGACGAUCCGUAGCUGGUCUGAGAGGACGACCAGCCAAACUGGAACUGAGACACGGCCCAGACUCCUACGGGAGGCAGAAGUGGGGAAUUUUGGACAAUGGGCGCAAGCCUGAUCCAGCAAUGCCGCGUGCGGGAAGAAGGCUUUCGGGUUGUAAACCGCUUUUGGCAGGAACGAAACGGUGUCCGCUAAUACCGGGCGCUAAUGACGGUACCUGCAGAAUAAGCACCGGCUAACUACGUG
rnacentral:rRNA from 1 species